UCUAUUCAUUUGAUAUUUCUCAAGAUAAAACUAAAUUGCAAAAGCAAGCCAGGUGAAAAGUGUCAACUAAUACAAAGUAGCAGAAACAUAUUUCAUUUCAUUUAAUUCAUUUCAUUUUUUGGUCCUUACAAUGGAAAUUUGUUCACGCAAUUUUAAUUUUAAAAUGUAGUAAAAAAAAAAGAAAAACUCAAAAAAACCUAAAAAAAAAUCAUAUUAAGGAACACUUCUUGGCGAGGUAGUUUGGCGAUUGCUGUUACAAAUCCUAAAGAAUGAUGUAUAUAUAAUUUAUAUAACUUCGAGAUUUUUAUACGUCAAGGCUGGCGCGAUGUCGUUUUGCUGGUGGCUGCUGUGUAUCCAGUUCAUCGUCUUGAUAUCGAUCCAAGUAUUGAAAGAGCAAGCGUCCAAAAUCGUUCAUAUUUGCAUCAACCUGAUGAAUGCCAUUUAUAUUGGUUACUGCUGGCGGUGGACACGAACUGACUCCACAAAUGUGUUGAACAAAGUAUUCCGAAUGGAAAAUGGCCACAAUUAUAUCUUGGAUAAGAACAUCCAAACGUAAGGACAAUUUUGCAAAUGACUCUGCAAAUUGCUUCAACACAAUGUACUGAGCCUGAUCGCUAAAGUUAACCUGACGUUCAUGUAGCAAAAGGAACAGCAAACGCAUAUCAUCGUCACUAACAUUUAGGGUAUCCUAAAUUUAACAUUCAUAGUGUUGCGUUACUUGUUAUCAAGUAACGCCAUAUGGGUGAAAAUUUUACGGAAUUCUUCAAUUAAAUUAUACAUUUAAUUUAGAAUUCGCCAAACUGUGCAAAAUGAAAUUCAAUUAAACAAACAGAUAUACAAACAUA